CACAUAAGAAAAUAGUAAAGGCCUUGUAGCUUUACCUAGGUGAAAUCUCCAUUGCAAUGUUUAAAAACUCCAGAGUCAAAAAAUAAAACUGAUCAGAAAAACAUUAACCUAGGUUUGUAUGAGCUCAAAAAUAAAAUAGAACUUUAUGAUGUGGGAAAAAUGCAAUAAUAAAAUAGAUAUUGAAAAAAGCAUCCUGGUUAAUCACUGUCGCAGAUGUAAAAAUGGCCAAGCUGGAGUUCUGGAUAUCAGCUGUUAUGGAUUUUGAGUCAAAUCAUCUUCUUUUCGAUCUGUAGAAAUUGUUUUAGUUAAUCUCUCUGGAAUCCAAAUCGGCUGCUGUUCCCCCUGUGGAAACACACAAACAGAGCCCCGACUCCAGACAAUCACUGGGUCAGGACCUUUCCAUUGUCCUGUUAGAAUAUCUUUCCAAAGUACCUUAGGCUUAUGUACAUUUUUGGAUACAUAUGCCUUUCCGCAGCAUUAAGUCCUGAUGAAUCCAAAUUUAAAAAGUUUAGUGUAAAAAGGGUUAUUUUAAGUUUAUCUUUGGGGGAUAUAUACCCCUUAAAGAUCAUUUUAAAUUUAAGUCUUUCAAAAGCAUUCUGCCUUAGUUUUUAGAAUUACUUUAGUCCUUUUAAUUUUUUGAUGUGGUUUUAAACCAAUUUCCUUCUAGUUUAACGUUUUCUAAAUUGGCUCUUGUCUAUAAAUUUUAACACCCUCAUCUGAGACUUCUAAUUUCUGCACCACCAGAAAUUAAAGUUGAUGGGCUUUUUGAAAAAAUUACUAAUAAUCUCCUUGCUCCCAGCAAGUGUGUUUUGGGCUGCUAAAAUAAAGGACCACAGACUGGUGGAUCAAAUAGCAGAUGUUUGUUUCUCACAGUUCUGGAGCCUGGAAGUCCAAGAUCAAGGUGCUGGCAGAUCUGGUGUCUGGUGGGAGGGCCUGCUUACAGAUUUGCUCAGGGUCAUCUUUUGUGCCCUCAGAGAGGAGAGAGGGGAGCCAAGCUUCUAUAGCCUCAGGUCACAGGGCUACCUCCUCAUACCUAAGUCUCCUGUCCCAGGAACACCCAACAAGGGUUAGGGUUUCCUGAUAUGAAUUUUGGGGGAUACAAACAUGAGAUUCAUAACAUUAUACAGAUUUGGUUUGGUUGGUUUUGCUGGGGAUCAAACCCAGCGUCUGGCACAUGCUUAGCAAGCACUGAACUGCUUUGCUGCUCGGCUGUACCCUUGGCCCCAACUGUCCUUUUUCUAAGGUAAACUUGCAUAUAUAAAGGGCAAAUAGCUUACCUGUACAGUUUUGGCAAAUAGACAUUCCCAUGUGAUUAAUGUCACCCUAAAAAAUUUCUUUCUUCUUUCUUUUUUGAAUAUUUUUAGUUGUAGGUGGACACAAUACCUUUAUUUCGUUUAUUUUUCUGUGGUGCUGAGGGUGAAACCCAGUGCCUAACACAUGCUAGGCCAGCACUCACCACUGAGCCACAGCCCCAGCCCCACCCUAGAAAAUUCCUUCCCAUCUCUUUUCAGUCUCCCACUCCCUUCCCAGAUGGCCUCGGCUGUUUUCUUUACUCCCUCCUAGAAUCUCAGACUACGUGUAAUCUCACAUCUGUGUUCUCAUGCCCAGUUCCAUUGGCGCAGCAGAGUUGUCAUGGCUAUCUUAACAGGUUUGUCCCUCUUUUUGCAGGGGGUGGGUACUGGGGAUUGAACUCAGGGCACUUGACCCCUGAGCCACUCCUCAGCCCUAUUUGUAUUUUAUUUAGAGACAGGGUCUCACUGAGUCACUUAGCGCCUUGCUUUUUUGCUGAGUCUGGCUUUGAACUCCUGACCCUCCUGCGGCGACCUCCCAAGCUGCUGGGAUUGCAGGCAUGCACCAUGGAGUCCAGCAGAAGUUUGUCCCUUUUUUAAUGCUGAGUAGUAUUUGUUCCAGUCUGUGACUACAUACAGUUUAUCUGUUCUGUCAGAGGGGUUGUUUUCUGUUGUGGCCAACCGUGAAUAAAGCUGCCAUGAAAGUCCUAAGACUUCUGGAUAUGUAUUUUCUUUUUUCCUACUUAAUUAUUUACAAAUGCAAUCACUGGAUCAAAGGUGGGCAAACAUUAACUUUUUAAGAAACUGUGGCUAGGCCUUUUCCAAAGUCAUUGUAGCUGUGGAUUCCCGCCGGCAAAGAGUAAGUUCCAAAUGCUUCACAUCCUCAGCCAGCAUUUGGUGUUGGGAGCAUUUUUUUUCCCCUUUUUAAUUAAAAAAACAUUUUUUUGGUAGUCGUAGAUGGACAGCAUGCCUUUAUUUUGUUUGUUUGUUUUUAUGUGGAGCUGAGGGUGGAACCCAGGGCCUCAUAGGUGCUAGACAAGUGCUCUGCCAGGAGCCCUAGCCCAGCCCUGGUGUUGGUAGCCUUCUAAGUCAGCUGUUGGCCACUGUGCCUUGUCAUCUAGAGAUUUUGGCCUCCACUUGCUAAUGACCAACAACGAUGACCACCAAUUCACAUGCCUUCUGGCUGUUCAUGUACCUUCCUUUUUGAAGUGUCUGUUCAGACUUUUUUUUUCCUAUUUUAAAUAUUGGGCUAUGUGUCUUUUUAUUGAGUUGUUUGUAGGAGUCCUUUGUAUGUUCUGUGUGUAAAUCCGUCGUUACUUACGUUUUGGGUUAGUUUUUGCAUGUCUGAUUUUCUGGUCCAUUUUCCCUAUGAUUUCUCUCAUUCUAAGAGGAGGAAGGGGAGAGGGCCAGGAAGAGGAGGGAGCUGUGACUGUGGGCAGGGCAGGGCAGGCCAUGAGAGUAGGAGGAGAGCAGAAAAGGAAGAGGAAGGAAUGUCUGUACUAUCUUUGCAUCUUUUGAUGUGCUGGGGUUUUUUUUAACAAUAUUUUUUAGUUGCAGAUGAACACAUAUCUUUAUUUAUUUAUUUAUUUUUAUGUGGUGCUGAGGGUGGAACCCAGGGCCUCACAUAUGCAAAGCAAGCGCUCUACCACUGAGCCCCAGCCCCAGCCCUUUUUUUUUGAUUGAACCCAGGGAUGCUCUACCACUGAGCCUUAUCCCCAGCUCUUUUUAUUUUUUAGUUUGAGACAGGGUCUUGCUAAGUUGCUAAGACUGUCUUUGAACUUAUGAUCCUCCUGCCUCAGCCUCAUAGAGUAGCUGUUAUUACAGGCGUGGCCACCACAUUUGGCUGAUAUGCUGAAAUUUUUUAUGUCAAACCCAGUGUAUGGAAUUAUCUCCUUUUUAUGGUUUUUGUUUUCUGUUCUCAGUCUUAGAAAUCUUUAAUUAUCCCCAGGCUGGGACAAUGCUAUAUUUUCUUCUAAAAAUACAACUUUAACUUUUACAAUUAGGUCCUUAAUCCAUCUCCAAUUAAUUUUUGUGUAUAUUGUAAGGUACAGAGGUCAAGGAUUAUCUUUUCCCCAGUGGAUAUCUAGUUGUUCCAGCAUGAUUUGUUAAAGAUGUUUCUAAAAGAGAAAAAAAAAAUGUUGCUUUUCCUCAUAGGCUGCUUUGUCAGAAGCCAGUUGACUACAAAAGUGUGGGUCUGGGCUGUUUCUCCCUCUGAAGGUGGUCCACAUUCUCCUUUGAAUGUGUAUACCUUGCUUUAUCCUCAAAACUUUUUGUCUUGAGAUGGACCACAUUGUCCCUUGAACGUGCCUCUGCUUUCCUAAAUAAACCUCUGCCUGUGUCUCUGGCUGGUGCAUGCUGAAAUUCUUUUCCAUCACGGAUGUCAAAAACCCUACUGGAACUGAGUUGUUCCUUUCUCUCCAGGAGCUCCUCAGACUCUUCUUCAGAAACUUUUCUUCUCCUGUGACAAUUUUUCCAUCUUAUUCUGAACUAGUUGAUAUCUUUAAAAAUAAAGUGUGUCAUAAAAAAAAGUAUAGGUCUGUCUGGACUCUAUUCUGUUUCAUGGAUCUCUUUGACUUUGACUAUCCUUAUUUCAACUCCCUACUGUUUUUUGUUUUUUUUUUUU
rnacentral:lncRNA from 1 species